GCCAGAGCCAUAUCUCCCUGCAGUUCUCACCUGGUUUCUCACAGAAGCUAAGCAAGGUUGAGCCUGGCCAGUAUCUGAAUGUGCUAAAACUAAGGUUUCUGCUGGUA
rnacentral:rRNA from 1 species